rnacentral:rRNA from 1 species
AGAUUGAACGCUGGCGGCAGGCCUAACACAUGCAAGUCGAGCGGUAGAGAGGUGCUUGCACCUCUUGAGAGCGGCGGACGGGUGAGUAAUGCCUAGGAAUCUGCCUAGUGGUGGGGGAUAAUGUUCGGAAACGGACGCUAAUACCGCAUACGUCCUACGGGAGAAAGCGGGGGACCUUCGGGCCUCGCGCCAUUAGAUGAGCCUAGGUCGGAUUAGC